rnacentral:lncRNA from 1 species
CCACAGUAAAAUUUCGGCAAAACUAAGCAUUUAUACAAGGAGAUUUAGAAAAGGAAAAAUAAAGCUAGUCAAAGAAAACUCUUUUGGUGUAACUUUGUCAAGCUUUUCUUCAAGAUUUUUCCUUUUCUUUUCUCCUUAUGGAAAGCUCCUUUUUGUCUCUGAAGUUGCUUCUCAAGAUGCUCCCCUUCAGCCUUAAAAUAUGAUUGUAUUUAUACCCAUUUUGAUGGCCAUUUGAUGUAAAAUCGAAUGGCCAAAAAUGUGCAGAAUUACAUGUCAGCACCUAGGCACCCAAGGGCUAAUGCCUAGGUGCCCAAGGUUCUGUUUUGUGGCUUGUUUUAACAUACUAGACAAUGCAUUCGGCACCUAGUCACCCAAGCUUCUAUCAACACUAAUUGUAGUCUGUUAUAGUCAGUCAACUUUCUCCACAUUUUUUACGAUGAUCCCUUCCAAGUUGGGUGAAGUGAUAAACAUCAAAGUUGUAGCUCUUCCUCUUAAUUUUUGUAGGUCCAAGUAUAUUCACUUUAAAGCUUAAGCACAUUUAAGAAGGAUAUAAUUAAUUUAAAGCUCAAGUGACAAAGAGACAAUACAAAGCUUGAUGUAAAUUUAAAGCUUGAUGCCAAUUGAGAAUAUGUCACGACUUGAUACUCCUCCCAAGCCCGUGAGAACUGCCGUGAUGUCCCGAUAGACAUCAUUACCCGAAAUGCCAAUCGAAACCUCCCAAGGCUUAACAUCAGUUUUCUCGCUUUUCCUGUGAAUAUUAGUUACUAAAAUCAUGUUUUAAAAGAUUAUAAGCUAUUUUCAAACCAAAACAAUAAAAAAAAUAAUUUUUGUCUCACAGGGGUAUUUUGGUCAUUUUUUCAAAAAAUUCUGAAACCAUCUAAAAAUGUAGUAUGCAAGUACAAAACACAUAUUUCGUAAUCAAAAAUAAGUUUAGAUAUUUAAAACAUUCAUUUAAAGUGAAACUAUACCUAUUUGAAUAUAAUAAAAAUAUUUAAUAAAAUAUUCUAUUUUCUUAUAAAACAAUAUUUAUAGAGUUACCGGUAAAUAAUUUUUGUAGCAUAAAAGCUAAAUAAAUUCAUACAUAUUAUAAUACAGAUAACCAAAGCAGACGAUUUAAUAUACAAUGACACGUGGGCCCACAAACGACCAAAAGUAUCAAAAGUGGUAAACCUACAAUUUUUGAGGAUGCAAGUCCAAAGGUUGCCCUCAAUGAAAUCAGCUAUCUACAGCCUAUUCUGAGCUUGAAAGGGGUAGCAAGGAGGGUGGUGAGAUUAUAUAAUCCCAGUGAGUAAACAAACAUCAUCCAAAAUAUCUAAAGUUGAGUAAAUAGAGAUAGAUAAAAUAAAUCAUUAUACUGUAAUUCAUCACCUUUCAACUCAUUUCAACCAAAUAAAAUCAAUUCAUAUAAAUCGAGUAAUCAACAUGACUUAUGAAUUUCUUAAAAACUUGGCUUGUGCCAAAAUUAUUCUCAUACUCAGUUGUCAGGGAUACCUUAGCCAAGAGCUAUCCCAAACCGAGUCUGCCAAGGCUGUUAAAAAGUUAUGUACGCAUAAAUCAUGUUUUUAUUUUGAAAACAUAGCUGUUCCUUAGCGUUGGCUGAGUUCACCCUUACGUGGUGGUUUGGUAUGAAGUGAACUCUAAAAUUGUACUUCGGGAGUUACCCUACACGCCUCUCCAACCGAGGUAAAAUAUAAAGGGGUUUACCGUGCCAAUCUAAUAGGCUGGUCCACAGAAACUCGCCCACUGCAGCAAGCUAAACCCACCAUACAAUAAAAUUUGCGAUAGCAUGACAUGGCAAUUAUUUAUUUUAUAGCCUCUCAGGGCAGAUCAACAGUUCAUACAAUUUCAACACAUUUACCAAUUCAACCAUUCAUGCCAAUAUUAUCAUAUGCCAUUCAAUUCAAACCAUGAUUUAUAACACAGUAAUUAGUCUCCAAUUACUCCAUUUUCAAAACCAUCUUUUAAUUUCAAGACAAUUUUAUAAAAUCAUUUCAUUUAAUCACAUUUUUGCUUAUAAAACAUAAAGAUUUACCAUUUAAACUCAUUUUCCAUAAAAUCACAAAAAAGAAUUAAAAUUCACUUCAGAUAAUCAAGAUGAUGAUAAGGUUACUCACUGUAUCAGGAGUUUGAAAUACUCCUAUUCUCAGUCCUCUGACACAACAUCUUUACCCUUGUUAGAGGGCUUACCACCUAUAUACAAUACACGACACAUAAUUC